AUGGCGAGGAACGCCGCCGCCGCCGCCGCCGCGAGGUUACUCGCCGACUCCCCAUCUCCCUUCCAUUCCAGUCACCACCACCACCGCCGCCGUGCCCUCCCAGUCCCCACAUCCCGCUCCAAGACCUCCUCCGCCAAGCCUGCUCCUCCAUCUCCUCGCACCGACACCACCGGCGAUCCAGCUGCAGCCAUUUCCACCGGGCCCCGCCCAUCUCUCUUCCAAGAAAUCUCCGGCCUCAUCGCCCCUGCCGCCGGCACGGUCAGCGACCCCCCAUUUCAAUCCCGAUUGAAUAGACAGUCGGGGAGGAGCGGCAACGAGGCCCCUGCGCAAUGCACGGAAGGUGCUCGGCCAAAUGCUCCAGAGACUUUUGCCUUUCUCACCGGCAGAGCUCCUGACCAAGGGGUUCCCGAUGGCCCUUCUGACAGCCCGGGUGGCAACGCAAAAGGCUCUGCCCCAAGCCAGGAAGCAUCAUCUCACGAGGUGGUGGCAGGUGCGCUCGCCCAAGAUCCUGACAUUGACAGUGCCCAAGUGCAAAAGAUCACCGAGGUUUUACGGUCAGAGGUGCCCGGAUUGCCUUUCGAGGAGAGGCUGGGUUGCUUGGGGGUCGUGUACACGCCGAGGAUCGUCAACAUGGUGCUCAAGAGGUGCUUCAAGAAGCCGCACCUGGGGCUCAGGUUCCACUACUGGGUUAAGCAACUUCCAGGGUUCCACCACACUACAGAGACAUACAACACGACGCUGUUUAUUGCAGGCGAAGCGAGGAGUUUUGGGUUGAUGGAGGAGCUGAUGGGCGAGAUGGAUAAGGAGAUGUGCCCCAAGGAUAUCAAGACGUGGACAAUUAUCAUAGCCAGUUAUGGGAAGGCAAGGCAGGUUGGCAAGAUGCUGUCUGCAUUUCAUGCUAUGAAGAAAUCUCGUUCCGUGGCAGUAGACACUAGAGUCUAUAGGACGAUUCUUCGUGCUUUGUGCAACAAUGCAAGGCAUGAGCUUGCUCUUGAGUUCUACAAGGACAUGCCCGCCAACAUGGAUGUCGGAUCUGACAUUCUGCGGCUUCUGCUGUGCUUGCUGGCUGGAUCAAACAGUGCUGAAGCUGUCUUCAUUAUCAGAGAUGAUAUGAUUAAAAGCGCGAGGUAUCCAGAGGAGUAUUGCUACUUGGAAGCUCUACGGAGCUUCUGUGUCUCAGGAAAACUAGCAGAAGCUCAGAAAGUCUUUCAGCAGAUGAUGAACAAGUCCAUGGAUAGCUCAUCUGCUUUUGAAACCCUCUUGAGGGGGCUGUGCAAAAGCGGAAGGAUGGAUGAAGCUCUUAAGCUAACGGAGCAUAUGAAGAACAGAUCAUCUAUUAGCAGCAUGGCGUUUGGUUUUCUCAUCGAUGGCUACCUCAGGAAAGGAGAACGUACAAAGGCACUUCAGUUGCUGCAGGGAAUGAGAGAGUAUGGUUGUAUUCCAUUGGCCUCCUCUUACACUCAGCUCAUGCAGCACCUCUUUGCAUCUGAUCAGUAUAAAGAAGCCUGUGAACUGUAUGAGGAGAUGCAGGAAGUUGGUGUUCAACCAGAUAUUGUAACAAUCACAGCAUUGAUAGCCGGGCAUAUUCGCAGUGGACAUAUUUCUGAAGCAUGGGAUAUUCUCAAAAAAAUGAGCGAGAACGGUCAAAGGCCCACAAUUAAAGCUUAUACAGUGUUCAUCCAUGAGCUCUGUAAGGCCUCCAAGCCCCUCGAGUCGUUGGAACUUCUGAAGGAAAUGUUGAAAUUUGACUUCAGGCCUUCUGAAGAAACUUUCUGCCGGAUUAUUUCUUCCUUGCGUGAGAAUAAUUAUCUGGAGGAAGCUAUUAAUGUUGAGAGAAUGCGGGCACCUUUUGAUAUUAAAAAGCCUAAAGGUGAGACGGAAAUCAGAUCAUUAGAGAAAACUGACACAGUUGAUGAGUUCCAGAAAUUAUCCGAGUGUGAACUGGAGGAGAAGAAAAUGAUAUUUGGGUCUGUUGUUCUUCCAUCUGAUAAAGACUCUGAGAUAUCGAGGUGCACACUUCGUGAUAACGAAAAUCACAUCGAACUAACAAAGGGCUACAGCGACGAAGAUGUUGAAAGGAUAUACCAAAUUCUGUCAUCUUCUGACGACUGGAGCUCAAUGCAGCAGGCACUUGAGAUGAGAUCACUGCAUUUUACACCAAACCUUGUCAAUGCCAUCAUGAAGUGCUGCAAGAGAAAUGGCCAUGCUGCUUUGAAGUUUUUCUCUUGGGUAGGGAAACGACCCUCCUACAUGCACACAACAGAAACGUACAACACAGCUAUGAAACUCGCAGGCUCCACGAAAGAUUUUAAGCACAUGAGGCACCUUUACAGAGAAAUGGCAUGGGCACAAUGUUCUCCAACAGUGGACACAUGGAAUGUCAUGAUUUGCCAGUACGGUAAUGCUGGUCUCACUGAAAUGGCCUUGAAGACAUUUUAUAAGAUGAAGCAAGAAGGCUUUCAGCCUUCCAAAAGUACAUACAGUCACCUGAUAAUGUAUCUCUGCCGCAGAAAAGGCCGAAAAAUAGGCGCUGCAAUCAAGAUCUUGAAGGAAAUGAUUCAUGCAGGUUAUAUGCCUGAUAAUGAUGCGCUUUGCACGUAUCUUUCAGCGUUAUGUGAGUGCGGGAUGUUGGCUGAUGCAAGAAGCUCAAUAGUAUCCCUAUGUGAACACGGAUUUACUACACAGAUUGGCUACUCCAUACUCCUUAGAUCAUUGUGCAGGUCUGAUAGAAAAGAGGAAGCUGUCAGUUUGUUUGAUGAUAUGGAGAGAUAUGGCUGCUCCAGAAAUGACUACAUGUAUGGAAGCUUCAUUCAUGCGUUACUGAGGUGGGAUCGCUUUGAAGACGCUGUAGCCAAAUUUGAAGAACUGAAGAAUGCAGGCAUAUGUCCAAGCACCCAUAUGUAUACCUCGUUCAUCAUUUACUUCUUUCAGAAAAGAGAUGUUGUCAAGGCAAUGGAUAUGUUCAAGGAGAUGGUAGACGAUGGAUGUGUGCCUUCAGUCGUCACAUACUCCGCGUUAAUACGCGGUUACAUGGAAGUAGGCAUGGUUUCAGAAGCCUGGGAUGUCUUACGGCACAUGAAACUGAAAGGACCAUCGCCAGACUUUGUGACCUACUCGAUGUUCAUAACGUACCUCUGCAAAGCUUGUAGAUCGGAGGAUGGGUUGCAGCUGAUUCAUGAUAUGCUGGAUGGUGGCAUCACCCCCAGCACAGUAAACUUCAGGACUGUUUUUCAUGGCCUGAAUAUGGAGGGCAAGCACAAGCUAGCCGACUCCGUCCUCCAGUCAAAAUGGCAUCUGCGGAGGCAAAGGAGCUUCUCAGAUUCUUCGUUUGUU
rnacentral:rRNA from 1 species